rnacentral:rRNA from 1 species
UACGUAGGGCGCGAGCGUUGUCCGGAUUGAUUGGGCGUAAAGAGCUCGUAGGCGGCUCGUUGCGUCGGCUGUGAGAACCCGCAGCUCAACUGUGGGCCUGCAGCUGAUACGGGCGGGCUGGAGUUCGGUAGGGGAGACUGGAAUUCCUGGUGUAGCGGUGAAAUGCGCAGAUAUCAGGAGGAACACCGGUGGCGAAGGCGGGUCUCUGGGCCGAUACUGACGCUGAGGAGCGAAAGCGUGGGGAGCGAACAGG